AGUGAACGCUGGCGGUAGGCCUAACACAUGCAAGUCGAACAGCAGCACAGUAAGAGCUUGCUCUUACGGGUGGCGAGUGGCGGACGGGUGAGGAUUACAUCGGAAUCUACUUUUUCGUGGGGGAUAACGUAGGGAAACUUACGCUAAUACCGCAUACGACCUACGGGUGAAAGCAGGGGAUCUUCGGACCUUGCGCGAUUGAAUGAGCCGAUGUCGGAUUAGCUAGUUGGCGGGGUAAAGGCCCACCAAGGCGACGAUCCGUAGCUGGUCUGAGAGGAUGAUCAGCCACACUGGAACUGAGACACGGUCCAGACUCCUACGGGAGGCAGCAGUGGGGAAUAUUGGACAAUGGGCGCAAGCCUGAUCCAGCCAUACCGCGUGGGUGAAGAAGGCCUUCGGGUUGUAAAGCCCUUUUGUUGGGAAAGAAAAGCAGCAGGUUAAUACCCCGCUGUUCUGACGGUACCCAAAGAAUAAGCACCGGCUAACUUCGUG
rnacentral:rRNA from 1 species